rnacentral:rRNA from 1 species
UUGCGACCCCAGGUCAGGCGGGAUCACCCGCUGAGUUUAAGCAUAUCAAUAAGCGGAGGAAAAGAAACUCAGUAGGAUUCCCCUAGUACGGCGA